GCCUCUGUGGCGCAAUUGGCUAGCGCGUUCGGCUGUUAACCGGAAGGCUGGUGGUUCAAGCCCACCCAGGGGCG
rnacentral:tRNA from 1 species